CCAAGCUUGAGCCAAGGAAGACAGAUUGUUCCUGGUUUGUUUAUAAGCUUACAGGGGAGUGGAAACAAUCUUUCCAGCCAAGCUUCCUUGGGCCAGUUGAAGUGAAACCAAGGAUUGUCCACUUAUCUCAGUAAUUAAGGCACAAAGAGACCCAUGCUGUUUGGGUCUGACUUUUCCAAAUCUGAGGGAUGAUGGUUUUAGCAAAUUCAGUGUGGACCAGAUCUUUGAUUCACUGUGGUCAUUCAGUCGUUUCUGAGUCAUUGCUGGACAGCAGAAGCAGACAGCUGAAUCACAGCUCAGAAAACCGUAAUGAGCUGAGCAGCAUUACAGCUUGUUUCGCUUAAUAUUUAUUCUUAAAACAUGACUUCAUUUGUGAUGGCUAUACUUGGAGAUCCAGAUACAAGUCCAGCGUGUUUGCUGUAACAAGUUAAUGCGAUGAAAUAUGGAAAAACCUAUUUGCCUCUGUCUUCAAAAUUUGCACAAAGCUCCUUUCUGGUGAGGAUUGCGUUGCACUGAUCUCUACACAUUUUCCUGGCAUGCAGUGCUGUUUGGCCCUUUAUGGGAUGGGCACAAAGACCCUGUGUCUACCUUCCCAGUGGGCUGCAUAAGAGACCGGGCACAGUGGAGACACAUACAAAGGAAACUUGAAAUUAAACCUAAAGACCUUAUUAGACUCAAAUCACAUAUUUUUGGCAAGAAAAUUGUAUUGUUCAUGCUAUCAAUUGCCUUUUGUGUUAUAUGAGAAGCUGAGUGAUAUGUCAUUGUGUGAAUAUACCACAUAUACAAGCAGUUCCUUAACUAAAGGACCAACUCAGGGAAGAAGUUCAUUGGUACAAACCCCACACCAUGGGACCCCUGGAGGACUAUACCUUAGAAGCAGGGAUGAAAGAGAGACUGCCAUUCCCGUGGUUACAGCUAUUGAAAUGACACCCAUAGAAAACAGAAGAAAAUAAUUAGCUUCCACUCAUUUCCAAACCCAGUACUGUGAGUUAAAAAUUAACCACAAAGCAUAAAUGUAUUUUUGUAUGAUACAUCCUAAAGAAUAUUUAAAGGCAUUCUGAGUUUGCUAUUAAAUUUAUCUUGUGGUGGAAAAAUCUUUCUUUCCCACACACAGUGGCUUGCAUUACUUUGUUAAAUGUACACUUAUUGAACCCUUUCUUGGAACAUUGAAAGCUACACUUAUUGAACCCUUACAGGGCACAUUGCAAAUCUUGGGGGAAUGGCACUUCAAGUGACAUUGUGCCAAGUAGGAGAUAUUAUAAGACAUAAGAGCAGUGCCAUGCCAAGCCAAAUAGGAGUCUGAGACAAAAAGAAAAUCAAUAAUACUGAGCCAGGC
rnacentral:lncRNA from 1 species